AGUCACCGGCGUCACGAAACACGCGCUGCACGAAAAGGCACGAGUCGUUGGCGCCUCCGCAGCGGCCACAGCGGUCCUCGAGGGCACCCGAGCCCAACAACCCAUCACAGCCGGCGCUCUAAAGGAUGAAGCCCAGAGAUUUGGCCAAAGCCACACAUCGAGGCUGAGGCAGAGCCAGGACUGGACCGUAGGUGCUCUGCGUCCAGCAACCUGGGACUCGCAGACACUGUUCCAAGCUCUAGGAUACAGAAGCAAGAAUUCAAUCAGUGUGCAGAUGGAUGGCCUUAAAAAAGGCCAGGUGUGGUGUCUCAUGCCUGUAAUCCCAGCACAUUGGGAGGCUGAGGUGGGCAGAUCUCCUGAGGCCAGGAGUUCAAGACCAGCCUGGGCAACAUGGCGAGACCCCCCCGUCUCUACCAAAAAUACAACAAUAAAAAUUUAGCCAGGCUUGGUGGUGGGAGCCUGUAAUCCCAGCUACUCCGGAGGCUGAGGCAGGAGAAUCGCUUGAACCAGGGAGGUGGAGGCUGUAGUGAGCCAAGAUCAUGCCACUGCACUCCAGCCUGGGUGACAGAGCGAGACUCCAUCUCAAAAAAAAAAAAAAAAAAAAAAAAAGAAGAUCUGAGCAUCUGGCCCAGGCACCAGCAAGUACCCAAUGAAGUGUUUGUCCAGUACUGACUGGACUGAGUCCCGCACAACUGAGCUGUGUCGCUGGUCCUCCCUGGGCCUCAGUUUCCCCUUCUGCCUGGAAGUGGGGCAAAAUGAGCUGUCUGAUCAAACACAAAGGCCGACAGCCCUGAUCUCCACUCCUCCUUCUCCAGCUCCUUCUGGCUCCCAUUUCCCUGAGCCUGGCUGGUGGACCCUGCCUGGAACGGAUCCUGGGCUGGCCCUAGUGGGCCUCUGCGGGGGUGGGAUCACAGCAGGUUUCCUCCAAUUCUCAGAUUGAUGGAAGGAAGGAAGGGAGGGAGGGAGGGAGGGAGGGAGGAAGGAAGGGAAGGGAGAAAGGGAAGGAAGGGAAGGAAGAAAGGGAAGGAAGGAAGGAAAUGAGGUUGAUGGAUGGCACUUUGUCCAUUCUAGGCUUUUCUUAUAUCUGUGUCUGCCUUCCCCAUGGCGUGUGAAGCUGCCUGUCUCCCUGAAAUCUGGAGGCGCACUGACCCGGGCACGUAGUUAUAUAACUCGCUAUUUUCAGCUCAAUGCAGCAACAUUUCCUGCUACUGGGAUAAGUUUGAGAAGUGUUGGCCUCUGGAUACAGCUCUAAGUCAAUCCUUAGUUGGGUGUUCAGCCCUGUGCAGAAUGAACCCUGCUUCCCUCUGCCCCUGUUUCACGCCUAACAUAUGCUGUUUCUGUUUCACUAACUCCUACAUAUCCUUCAAAGCCCUAGCACUAAUACCCUCUUCUCUUUGCAACCCUCCAAGACCCUCUCCCUGAGACUAAUGAGUUGUUCGCUCUGGACCAAUUCUGACCACAGGAGACCAGACUACUCACCCCCAUGGAAGGGCACCCACUGGUAGGUCUUCUGGGUGCCCAGGACAGGGCGGCCAUUGUACAGGGCACACUGUAGGUCUCGGAAGGGCACAGCCCCUGGGGGGCAGUCCUAGGGACAGAGAUAGGUGAGCCAGAGGCUGGGACAACCCCAAGGGGCAGGUGGUGGGCUUCAGGCAGUCUGGGGUGGGAGAGUGGUCUGGGAGGUGGGCAGGGCUUACUGGCAACUGGCAGAGGCGGUACUCAUGGGAGUCUCCCCAGCACGGUUCUUCCCCAGGAAGCCUGAAGGGAGACAGAGUGUGGCGAGAACCCCCAGGGACCCCCUCCCAGGGCUGGCCUUCCACCCUCCGCCCCCGCCAACCCCACCCGCAUUCCAGCGGGAUCAGGGGGAUUAAAGGGCACAGCAUGUGUGGGCAGGCCGAGGGUGCGGCCAGGGGCCGGGCUGGGCCGGCGGGGGAGGAGGGGCAGGGACCCCCUCCGGGCCCCGCUCACCGGAGGCAGCGCCGGCUGCGCACAGAGACGCCACGCCCGCAGGAGCUGGAGCAGCGGGUCCAGGACACCCACGGGGUCCACUCGCCCGGACCCUACUUGGGGAGACAGAGGCACGGUCAGCCUUGUAGGGGGACGCUGGUGACCCCACACUGCUGACUGGGUCCCCAUUCCCACUCGCCACCCCCUGGGCU
rnacentral:lncRNA from 1 species